UACGGAGGGAGCUAGCGUUGUUCGGAAUUACUGGGCGUAAAGCGCGCGUAGGCGGCUUUGUAAGUUAGAGGUGAAAGCCCGGGGCUCAACCCCGGAAUUGCCUUUAAGACUGCAUCGCUUGAAUCCGGGAGAGGUGAGUGGAAUUCCGAGUGUAGAGGUGAAAUUCGUAGAUAUUCGCAAGAACACCAGUGGCGAAGGCGGCUCACUGGCUCGAUAAGCUGACGCUGAGGUGCGAAGCGUGGGGAGCAAACAGG
rnacentral:rRNA from 1 species